UUGAAGUCGAGGGGUAACAUAGGGGUGCUUGCACCCUUGAUGACGACCGGCGCACGGGUGAGUAACGCGUAUACAAUCUGCCUUGUACAGGAGUAUAGCCCAGGGAAACUUGGAUUAAUCCUCCAUAGCCUAUAUAAAUAGCAUUAUUAAUAUAGUAAAGAUUUAUCGGUACAAGAUGAGUAUGCGUCCUAUUAGUCUGUUGGUAAGGUAACGGCUUACCAAAACUACGAUAGGUAGGGGCCCUGAGAGGGGGAUCCCCCACACUGGUACUGAGACACGGACCAGACUCCUACGGGAGGCAGCAGUGAGGAAUAUUGGACAAUGGGUGAGAGCCUGAUCCAGCCAUGCCGCGUGCAGGAAGACGGCCCUAUGGGCGUUGUAAACUGCUUUUAUACGGGAAGAAACCCCCCAACGUGUUGGGGGCUGACGGUACCGUAAGAAUAAGGACCGGCUAACUCCGUGCCAGCAGCCGCGGUAAUACGGAGGGUCCGAGCGUUAUCCGGAAUCAUUGGGUUUAAAGGGUCCGUAGGCGGGCAGCUCAGUCAGUGGUGAAAGUUUGCGGCUUAACCGUAAAAUUGCCAUUGAUACUGGUUGUCUUGAAUUGGUGUGAAGUGGUUAGAAUGAGUAGUGUAGCGGUGAAAUGCAUAGAUAUUACUCAGAAUACCGAUUGCGAAGGCAGAUCACUAACACUAUAUUGACGCUGAGGGACGAAAGCGUGGGGAGCGAACAGGAUUAGAUACCCUGGUAGUCCACGCCGUAAACGAUGGUUACUAGCUGUUGGGCCGAUUGGGGCUCAGUGGCCAAGCGAAAGUGAUAAGUAACCCACCUGGGGAGUACGUUCGCAAGAAUGAAACUCAAAGGCC
rnacentral:rRNA from 1 species